rnacentral:rRNA from 1 species
UACGUAGGGUGCAAGCGUUAAUCGGAAUUACUGGGCGUAAAGCGUGCGCAGGCGGUUGUGCAAGACAGAUGUGAAAUCCCCGGGCUCAACCUGGGAACUGCAUUUGUGACUGCACGGCUGGAGUGCGGCAGAGGGGGAUGGAAUUCCACGUGUAGCAGUGAAAUGCGUAGAGAUGUGGAGGAACACCGAUGGCGAAGGCAGCCCCCUGGGCCAACACUGACGCUCAGGCACGAAAGCGUGGGGAGCAAACAGG